UGGGGGAUAUUGCGCAAUGGGGGAAACCCUGACGCAGCAACGCCGCGUGAAGGAAGAAGGUCUUCGGAUUGUAAACUUCUUUUGUCAGGGACGAAGAAAGUGACGGUACCUGACGAAUAAGCUCCGGCUAACUACGUGCCAGCAGCCGCGGUAAUACGUAGGGAGCGAGCGUUGUCCGGAUUUACUGGGUGUAAAGGGUGCGUAGGCGGCCGAGCAAGUCAGUUGUGAAAACUAUGGGCUUAACCCAUAACGUGCAAUUGAAACUGUCCGGCUUGAGUGAAGUAGAGGUAGGCGGAAUUCCCGGUGUAGCGGUGAAAUGCGUAGAGAUCGGGAGGAACACCAGUGGCGAAGGCGGCCUACUGGGCUUUAACUGACGCUGAGGCACGAAAGCAUGGGUAGCAAACAGGAUUAGAUACCCUGGUAGUCCAUGCCGUAAACGAUGAUUACUAGGUGUGGGGGGACUGACCCCUUCCGUGCCGCAGUUAACACAAUAAGUAAUCCACCUGGGGAGUACGGCCGCAAGGUUGAAACUCAAAGGAAUUGACGGGGGCCCGCACAAGCAGUGGAGUAUGUGGUUUAAUUCGAAGCAACGCGAAGAACCUUACCAGGUCUUGACAUCCUGAGAAUCCUUAAGAGAUUAGGGAGUGCCUUCGGGAACUCAGAGACAGGUGGUGCAUGGUUGUCGUCAGCUCGUGUCGUGAGAUGUUGGGUUAAGUCCCGCAACGAGCGCAACCCUUGUUAUUAGUUGCUACGCAAGAGCACUCUAAUAGGACUGCCGUUGACAAAACGGAGGAAGGUGGGGACGACGUCAAAUCAUCAUGCCCCUUAUGACCUGGGCUACACACGUACUACAAUGGCCAUUAACAGAGGGAAGCAAAACCGCGAGGCAGAGCAAACCCCUAAAAAUGGUCCCAGUUCGGAUUGUAGGCUGCAACCCGCCUACAUGAAGUUGGAAUUGCUAGUAAUCGCGGAUCAGCAUGCCGCGGUGAAUACGUUCCC
rnacentral:rRNA from 1 species